rnacentral:rRNA from 1 species
GAUGAACGCUGGCGGCGUGCCUAAUACAUGCAAGUCGAGCGAAUGGAUUAAGAGCUUGCUCCUAUGAAGUUAGCGGCGGACGGGUGAGUAACACGUGGGUAACCUGCCCAUAAGACUGGGAUAACUCCGGGAAACCGGGGCUAAUACCGGAUAGCGUUUUGAACCGCAGGGUUCGAAAUUGAAAGGCGGCUUCGGCUGUCACUUAUGGAUGGACCCGCGUCGCAUUAGCUAGUUGGUGAGGUAACGGCUCACCAAGGCAACGAUGCGUAGCCGACCUGAGAGGGUGAUCGGCCACACUGGGACUGAGACACGGCCCAGACUCCUACGGGAGGCAGCAGUAGGGAAUCUUCCGCAAUGGACGAAAGUCUGACGGAGCAACGCCGCGUGAGUGAUGAAGGCUUUCGGGUCGUAAAACUCUGUUGUUAGGGAAGAACAAGUGCUAGUUGAAUAAGCUGGCACCUUGACGGUACCUAACCAGAAAGCCACGGCUAACUACGUGCCAGCCGCCGCGGUAA